AAUCAACGCUGGCGGCGUGCCUCAGACAUGCAAGUCGAACGAUUAAAGCUCCCUUCGGGGAGUGCAUAAAGUGGCGCACGGGUGAGUAACACGUAAGUAAUCUACCCUCGGGUGGGGAAUAACGUUCGGAAACGGACGCUAAUACCGCAUAAUGCAGCGGCACCGCAAGGUGACAGUUGUUAAAGAUUUAUUGCCUGGGGAGGAGCUUGCGGCAGAUUAGCUUGUUGGAAGGUAACGGCUUACCAAGGCUACGAUCUGUAUCCGGUCUAAGAGGACGGUCGGACACACUGACACUGAAUAACGGGUCAGACUCCUACGGGAGGCAGCAGUCGGGAAUUUUGGGCAAUGGGGGAAACCCUGACCCAGCAACGCCGCGUGAAGGAUGAAGUAUUUCGGUAUGUAAACUUCGAAAGAAUAGGAAGAAUUAAUGACGGUACUA
rnacentral:rRNA from 1 species